UGGGGAAUAUUGGACAAUGGGGGCAACCCUGAUCCAGCCAUGCCGCGUGAGUGAAGAAGGCCUUCGGGUUGUAAAGCUCUUUUAGUCGGAAAGAAAGAGUUGCAAUGAAUAAUUGUGAUUUAUGACGGUACCGACAGCAAAAGCACCGGCUAACUACGUGCCAGCAGCCGCGGUAAUACGUAGGGUGCGAGCGUUAAUCGGAAUUACUGGGCGUAAAGGGUGCGCAGGCGGUCUUGCAAGUCAGAUGUGAAAGCCCCGGGCUUAACCUGGGAAUUGUGUUUGAAACUACAAGACUAGAGUGCAGCAGAGGGGAGUGGAAUUCCAUGUGUAGCAGUGAAAUGCGUAGAGAUGUGGAAGAACACCGAUGGCGAAGGCAGCUCCCUGGGUUGACACUGACGCUCAUGCACGAAAGCGUGGGGAGCAAACA
rnacentral:rRNA from 1 species